GACGAACCGUGCAAACGUUGUUCGGAAUCACUGGGCUUAAAGGGCGCGUAGGCGGCUUACCAAGUCAGGGGUGAAAUCUUUCGGCUCAACCGGAAAAGUGCCUCUGAUACUGGUAGGCUGGAGUGAGGUAGGGGCAUGUGGAACUUCCGGUGGAGCGGUGAAAUGCGUUGAUAUCGGAAGGAACGCCGGUGGCGAAAGCGACGUGCUGGACCUCUUCUGACGCUGAGGCGCGAAAGCUAGGGGAGCGAACGGG
rnacentral:misc_RNA from 1 species